GCUAAUAAAUAUGCAUAAUAUUAGUUGUUUUUUAAGUAAUUAAUACAUUUAAUUUAGUAAUUAUUUCUAUUUAGAAACAUUCUAAACAUAUUACUGCAUUAAAUAGUCCCGAGUCCAGAGUGUAUGAAUACUGUAGCUAGGCGCUAGUUUUGCUAGUUUUGCUGACAGGAGAAACUGAGGGGAAAAAGGGGGAAAGAGUUUAAACAAAACCUGUUUAAAAAGAGCAGCUGCUGUUUAGUGUGGAUGGAAGCUACAGCAUUGUGCUGAAGACCAGAUUUAAUGAGGACUGCGGUUGGGAAAACGAGGAGCGAGCUGUGAGUCUUCAUCACUGCAGUCCUGUGAUGGAGAAAAACACAUUUCUCAGGCGAACACAUUCUAGAAGGACGCUGGAGCUCCUGCUGCUCUGCUCUUGAUCACAGUAAUGGAAAUGCUCUCUGUGGCCUCUUUCAGAGUGUCAUCAAAUCCGCCUCGAUCCAUCUCCGAGACGGCUUCCUCCACUGAGCCAAUUAGAGGAUAAAAGAAGAAACAGAACUUUUCCUGCUUUUGGGCUUUCAGAGCCGACGCACUGCUGCGCGAGAGGCGCGAGAGCGGCCGAC
rnacentral:lncRNA from 1 species